rnacentral:rRNA from 1 species
CCUACGGGGGGCAGCAGUGGGGGAUAUUGCACAAUGGGGGGAACCCUGAUGCAGCGACGCCGCGUGGGUGAAGGAGUAUUUCGGUAUGUAAAGCACUAUCGGCAGGGAAGAAAUUGGACGGUACCUGACUAAGAAGCCUCGGCUAACUACGUGCCAGCAGCCGCGGUAAUACGUAGGGGGCAAGCGUUAUCCGGAUUCACUGGGUGUAAAGGGAGCGUAGACGGCCAUGCAAGCCAGGGGUGAAAGCCCGGGGCACAACCCCGGGACUGCCCUUGGAACUGGAUGGCUGGAGUGCGGGAGGGGCAGGCGGAAUUCCUGGUGUAGCGGUGAAAUGCGUAGAUAUCAGGAGGAACACCGGCGGCGAAGGCGGCCUGCUGGACCGCGACUGACGUUGAGGCUCGAAAGCGUGGGGAGCGAACAGGAUUAGAUACCCCUGUAGUC